rnacentral:rRNA from 1 species
UAGGGAAUCUUCUGCAAUGGACGAAAGUCUGACCGAGCAACGCCGCGUGAGUGAAGAAGGUUUUCGGAUCGUAAAACUCUGUUGUUAGAGAAGAACAAGGACGUUAGUAACUGAACGUCCCCUGACGGUAUCUAACCAGAAAGCCACGGCUAACUACGUGCCAGCAGCCGCGGUAAUACGUAGGUGGCAAGCGUUGUCCGGAUUUAUUUGGCGUAAAGCGAGCGCAGGCGGUUUCUUAAGUCUGAUGUGAAAGCCCCCGGCUCAACCGGAGGGGGUCAUUGGAAACUGGGAGACUUGAGUGCAGAAGAGGAGGGUGGAAUUCCAUGUGUAGCGGUGAAAUGCGUAGUUAUAUGGAGGAACACCAGUGGCGAAGGCGGAUCUCUGGUCUGUAACUGACGCGGAGGCUCGAAAGCGUGGGGAGCAAACAGG